CAGGAAUUUCAGCUUUUCCCCCAGGGAGACUUGGCCCCGACGUCGAGGAGCAGCCGGGUAUUACAGAUGUUCCACUCCCUUCCUCCCUCCUCUGGCUUGCGGACACAACCGUCCCAGCCCGCGGGAGGUGACCGAGCAGGCUGCAGGACAAGGUCAUACCGUAAUCGACACUUAGAGAUUCACCCCAGCAGCUACGGUCCUUGUGCCACUGCUGCACAUGUUGCUUGCUUGGACAAUAAAGCUGAAAAUAAAGCAUAGAACUUUAAAGCAUAAAAUGAAAAAUAAAGAACAAACCUCAGUAAUUCACUUUAUAGCAAAAAGAAUUAGGAUGGACACCUGGCCAGCUGCGCUGCCCAAGAGAGAUGCUGCUGAUCUGCCAUGGAAAUGUGCCAUGGAAGCGAGACAGAAAUAAAGUACUUUGGAGCACUCUGUCAAAAUAUUGGGAAAAACCCCGUAACAUUCAGUUGCCUCUCUUUUUAAACAUUUAGAACAAAUACGUAACUGCUUAAAUACACCUAAUAAAUUGUAUGCUGCAGCUUUUUGGCAGUAACAGUUUAAACAAUGCAAGUAAGUUUGUAAAUUAUACAAUUUGGACUUUUUUUUAAAAGUUUCAUUUAUGACAGAAAAAUCAGUGAGGUAAGAGAUUCCCCCAUAUGUUUUUUCUUCGGGGGGUGCGGUGGGUGGGAACCAGUGCUGCAACACAUAAGGCUACCAAAAAGGACUGGUAGAUUUGCUCAUGCUUCUGGCUGGAGUGAGGCAUGUAGAGGAACACAUUUUUAUAUCUUGACUUUUACAACUGAGAUCCCAAAGAGCAGUGAUUCCAUCAACUUUUGGAAGAUGUGCUGCACUUGGGUCUUUAGGAAGGAAACUGACUUAAAAAAAAAAAAGUGUAAAAAGUCUGGUUGCUGAUGAAUUCUACUGCCAAGUACAUAAUCUCUGAAGAUCCACUCUGAUGGGAAGUUCAUAAAAUACAACUGCUUUGCAUGAGAAAGAUUUCCAUUCUGGAAAAACUCUUGCCAACUGCAAUCAAAUUUUACACACUGUAGGUUAAGGAAAAAGGACGUUAUUUAAGCUGUAACUCACCAAAACUGUAUCAGGACUCACUGUCACUAGUUACAAAGCUGCUAAUGCUUCUUGGAAAAACAUGGAAAACACACAGAAGCAACGCUGAUUUCUCCUGUUUUGUCCAUGUCUCUUCUUUGACCUUGAUUGCUUUUAGUACAGAUGCUAGUGUCUCAGUAAGGUUUUUGAGUACUGCUAUAAGGUAUUUUUAAAACUUACUGACUGAAAAAUCGUGAAGCCUUUAUCAUGAAACCAAAGCCUGUUUCUUCCGAACUCUUACAAACGGUUUCUUUCCUCUUUCAGUAUAAAAUUGUUUUCAGUAUUAUUUAACAGUAAGCACACAGAAACAGAAGAUUAUGUUUUCAGGAAGAGAAAAUAAAUGGAAGGAAGUAAGCUUUGCAUAGGCAUAACAUGCUCCAGAACAGGCCUUAUUAUAUUUUCAGCAUUUGUGUUAAGAUAUUUCAUAUAAAAACUACAGAAGGAGAGUUGGCACAUUUUUAAUGUUAACAUUUAAUAUUUAUUUAAUAACAUUUAAUAACACACUGCAAGCACCUUAGGAAAAAUGCAGGCACACACUGU